GUCCCUACGGGGGGCAGCAGCCGCGGUAAUACGGAGGAUCCGAGCGUUAUCCGGAUUUAUUGGGUUUAAAGGGAGCGUAGAUGGGUUGUUAAGUCAGUUGUGAAAGUUUGCGGCUCAACCGUAAAAUUGCAAUUGAUACUGGCAGCCUUGAGUACAGUUGAGGUAGGCGGAAUUCGUGGUGUAGCGGUGAAAUGCUUAGAUAUCACGAAGAACUCCGAUUGCGAAGGCAGCCUACUAAACUGCCACUGACAUUGAUGCUCGAAAGUGUGGGUAUCAAACAGGAUUAGAUACCCCAGUAGUCCCCA
rnacentral:rRNA from 1 species